CAGAAAGAUAAGCAGACCAUCUCCCAGCUGGAGAAGAGGCUCAAGGCUGACUAGGAGGCUCGGGCCCUGGCUGAGAAACACCUGGCCGGACUGGAGCAAGGCCAUGGAACUGAGUAGAGUCUAAUGACUCUCUUCGCGUUCGUAUCAGAGAGCUUGAGACAGAGUAUAAGAAGCUCAGCUUGGACAUGAAACUUAAGGAGGAGCAGAUUAGGGACCUGGAGGGAAAGUGUCAGAUUGCUACCGAGCCACGACAGACGCAUCAUCAGACGGAUCGUGACUGACUUCUCCAUUGGCAACAUCAAGUCCAUCUGCAAACUUUUGAAGCUCAAGAUGAACACGGCAACCAUCAUGCAUGACUGCGUGGUCAAGCUGCUGAACCACAACGACGAAGAGUCAUUCGAGUGUCUCUGCAGCAUGCUCACCACCAUGGGCAAGGUCCUUGACCUAGAGCAGGCCAAGCCUCAGAUGGAUCAGUAUUUUAUCCAUAUUAAAAAAAUCCUCACAGA